UUGAACUGUGUAGUCAAUCUAACAAGCAGAUUAAAUGGAACGGAAAACAUCAUUCAUUCGGGCCUUUUUCAAGGCAUCAGUUUGUUAGGUGAAAGAGCUCUGGAGCUCAAGAAUAAGUGACCAACGCUUAUUGAGCUAUAUUCGGGAAAAGUUUGACAUAGAAUGAGUGUACUCUUUGCCAGACGGUCUCGCAAAUUUCGGUUUAGCUUCCGCCAAAAAAGAGCGGAAAGGAGUGGGAAAAGCUGUCAACAAUUAAUGCCGCCUACCUGAACGGUCCCGAUGCUUGACAAAGUCAAACUGUCCAGUUAGGACAUGUAUAACAACAGGCAGAUGGAUUAUUCAUAGCCCGACCUACUCUAACCAAAGAGUUGUUAUAAAGAAAGCGGAGCCCUUCCAAGGGUAUAGCACCACGGUCCUCAAGGUUUCGCGAGCAAUUUUAAUUUGUUAACAUCGGUGUUGAGCAGGGGCGAGGCCAAACAAAAUCGCGAACAUGGAGAUGAAUGUUAUAAUGCCAACAUUUGUAGCUUAUUGCAAACGGAAGUGAUCCAAAGAAACAUCCACCUGCGACUUGUCGGAAACAUUGCAUGUUUCCGCUAAUUUUAUAGGAAAAAGGCAAGAUCGGUCGCUAACCGGCGUCGAUGGCCCGAAUACUGGGACUCAUUACUCCUCGCAGCGACACUCACAGAGAAAGACCGGGCUUUUCAGUAGCACUAAGCAUCUACAAUGAGUCAUUUCAUAGAUGUUAUUGUUGUCGCCAUCCGCUACCAGUAGAGUUCGCCCAUUGUGCUGACGUGAUCGCAGAUCGGCGCGGCGUCCAGCCUUUUGGCCUCGUUUUAAACUAGCGCGUUCAGGGAACGUCCUGCCAUCCAUAGGACAACGGCUAGUUGCCUAUCGGAUUCAGGACAUAUCGCAUUUGAGCUUUCAGUUUUCUUAUCUUUUGUUGCGAGGAGUGUUCCUUGACAUAUCGCUACAAUGGAGGGUCAUAUAGUAAUUUCCUUUUCCCUGAUUGGAUUGGAUAUGGCCAUGGCAUCAUUUUCUGUAAUAAAGUCGCUAUCAGCUUAGUACUAAUGCCGUAUAACCUGCAUGUCAACUAACAACGGGCUGCAUGCGGACAUUGCGAAUCUAAAAGCGUGACGUUCGGGCAGGCACUCUAAACAAACGUAACGCCCUAAUAGUCGUCGACACCGAUCCCUGUUUGCCCGCGGGCUCGCUGGUGAAAAAGGUAAAGCAUCCGAAACGCUACUACGGUCUGUGUGCAUCGCGAAAGCCACUAUGUUCUUGAAAGAUCUUGCGUCUAAAGACGAAUAGAGAGACGCGAUCCACUGGAGUAAAUUUCUGUCGGGACCCAAAUUCCUUAUUAUCCAAGCGUUGGUGAAACGGGCGACGGAUGAACUGAGACGCCAGCAAAUGACAUAUAUGACCAUGACACGUCCUUUCAGUUUGCUGCGGUAACUGGGUAACGCUGACAAGUGGCUUUGUCCAGUCUAUUAAGGUCAGCAACAAAAAAAGAGAACAUUUCUCUGCGCAAUUGUGUGUCAAAUAGGAAGUAGGCAGGAAGGUCUUUUCAGUAUUCUGGUACGAAGUUUUCUUUGUCCAACAUAGGGGUAAAAAGAAAGCAGGUCUUCCAAUCGUUUUAAAAGCAACUUACGUACUAUGAACUUCAUCAAAACAAUAGCUUUCCUGUUACUUGGCCCUCCGAAUCUCAUUGAGCUGCGCAUAUCCCCUUCAGUUUGCCCCUUUUAAUCCAAAAUAAUCAAACAUAACGUUUAUAUAUAUAUAUGCAUUUAUGCGGAAAAAUGUACAGGUGCAGUUCGGGCCAAAGUAGGAGGUUAAUGGUUGGCUCGAAGGAGACUGGUUUCUACUCGUCACCUCCGAGUUCUGAGUGGGGAAGCCAACACAAUAGGAGUGUCUUUUCCAUUCUUUCUUUGAUCUUUUCCAUUUGGUCUAUGCUACCUUCUUCAAAAAGGACAGCGAAUCAGUGGGAGAUUAUGAAGCCGCGAACAUAUCUCGAAGUCUCAAAUCCUAACGUGAUCAAUUCGACGUUGUCCUUUAUGGGGUUCAGUAGAAAUGCGGAAACAAGGGCUUCCAGUAGGCACCAUAGUAAAAAGGACGCUGUAAGUCCACGAUGUAAGGAGGAAUAGAACAGGUCCAACAUUUCUAUGUAGAAGUUAAAGGUUAACGAGGGCGUCCUAUCGCUGACUCGUCAUUUACCACUUACACGGAUAGAACUGGAGAGGUAUAAAGAUCGUUAUAUAUAAUUAACUAUCUGAACUUAUGAGUAUACGCGUUAUAUGCCCACAUCUACUUCUCCUAGUCGUCUCUCAGUUUCAACUUAUAUAUCUACCAUAAAUAGUAGUAUUCCAAAAACAACAACAUACCAUCAAAAAAAUAAUUGUAAUUUCAUGCUUCGUUGCGUCUAUCUCUAACGUAUUUAAUAUGUCCAAUGCAAAAAAUACCAACGGUAUCUAAGCACUCUGAGAAAAUGAAUCAGGUAUUGUCUUAUAUCAACUUUUUUUAUAAACACUAUUGCACGAAUUGGCUAGAUGAAAACGUAAUACAUUCAAAUCGUAGAUUUGAAGAUUUCUGUCCAAGUUCAGAUUUUUCCCCUAAUGUAUUUGUAACAAAGCGGAAUUUAGUAAUAAUGAAUAAAAUGAUUCAGUGUGUGUGUCAGAUUUAGGUGCAACUUAAAGUUUGAGAUACGUUCAUCUUCAACAAAGUUUACUUUCAGACCAAGUUAAAGUUUCGUUUAUGGAAAUCAUCUAACAAGAAGUUCUCAGCCAUCCUAUGUGAUGUAAAAAUAGUACAGCUACGGACAGAAAUACGCACACUGCGGGAGCUGACGUUGAAAAUAGACGGAUUGUCAAACAAGCCAUACACUCUCGAGUUAUCGGCAUAUCAUUCAUCGAAACUCUUUUGACUCGAUAAAUUUGCUGUUACAUGAGUUAUGAGCACGUCGGCUAUUUCCCGUUGACCGUAUAACGAUAUACACAUAUGAAAGCAACAGGCCUACGUACGCCUAUAUAAAUGCGGUUAAAGCUUGAAUCAUCGUUUCACUAACGUCCGUAACUCUACUCUCAGCCAUUAAACUUCCGAACCGAAAGCAUGAAUCACAUCGUGAUACCCAUCCAUUAUUCGAUUUGCCUAUUUAGCCAUUUUGCGUCAUUAGUCUUCGCGAAUAAUGCUGCGUCAUCUGCUAACCCAUAAUCGUUCCCGCUCAGGACUCGGAACGCUCAGAGAGAUAGGAUGUGUUAGGGAAAGAGAAAGUAGUCCUAUCCUGCUUCUACCUGCGGCUCAGAGCCUUUCCCAGUUAGCUCAGGUAUGGAAAGCUUUUCGAGCCUCAGCUGCUUUGCUUGCUGAAUUGCAUUUGACAAAUGAAUGAAUUCCCGCCCCUGUAGCCCUGCUAAAGCCCUACUUGAUUAAUGGCCAGAACUCAUCUCCUCAUCUGACUUCUUGCCGGAUCCAACAAAAUUGCCAGUAACCUGUCUUUAACCUGCACGAGAGCAAUAUCUGACCCUUGACAUGACCCUCUGACAAGUUGGCGGUUUGUGGCCCAGUCGGUGGUAAAACUAAAACGAACUACUGAAUUCUCAGUGGUGUAAGGUAAAAACCCAAGGUAGAGCUGCAUAGGAAAGCCUGCUUACGAAGAAGAAUGAAGCGUUUCUUAAACACUUGGCUCCGACGGAUGCUUCACCUCACUGCCUUUAGUCCGUGGCAAAGAAGGGGUCUCGAAACGGCUUCGCCACCAGAAGUAGGAUCAAGUGUCAUCGGCUUAUGUCUUCGUCUGUUAGCAUUAACACGGCUGUGAGGGCUUAGCUUUGGCAAUAAGCGGAGCAAGCACUUUGCUUUCGGAUAGAAGGUGGUCAUUUGUUAACGUGGGGGAACGGAAUCACCAUACCGGCACGCAUUGUGAAGUGCCCUAUCUGACAUAAAUAUUUGUAGACAUAAUAAUAGAUAAAUAUAAACAUAAGUAGUUUUUCAGCUACCGUAUUUUAGUGUUAGUCAAUGGAAAAUACUCGGCUACCGCUAGAGCUACCUCGGCCUGUUCUCGAGGUACAAUACUAACAAAUGUUUCGGGCCUCACGUUCCGUAUUUUAAACGGGAGUCUUAGUACAAUCCUGGGACACCUUAUCUUUAUUUUGUAUAUGAAUUCAAUAAUGCACGUGUUACAUUUAUUGGUAUUCAUGAAUAUAUAUAUGUAGUGUAAAAACCUGCGCGAGCGUCAAUAGGGGCUUGAUGUCGCAGGAUAUUCGAGACUAUGGGUUCAAAAAUGUGCCGUUCUGCACUUUAGCCAUGUAAAUCCGAAUCAUAUGUACUCCAUCGGCGGCCUUAACCUAGAGAUAAUAAGAGCUAUCCGCCACUUAAGGGCUUACUUAAAAUAUACAGCAUAUGCGUUGAAUAUUGCUCACCAUGCAAUAUGUUUAUUUAUCCUAGAGGAUAUAUAUCAGAUCAUUUAGGAUGCAAGUUACUCAUUCAUGUAUGUUUGAAAAAAUUCUAAAAGCAUAUUAAUAGGCGUUCGAACGUAUCAAUAAGCAAGUCUAAAGAUAGCAAUGUUCGAUACGAAGUAGCGUGCUUUUACCAAAUUAAUUAACAUAAAAAGUUAUACACUUAACAACACUUAUAAAAUAGUCUAGUUUUUUUGCCUAUAAAUAUAAGUCGCUAUAGUAACUUUGAGAAAAAUAUGUUAUUCAGCGUAAUUCUCACAGUUGUCGAAUCUUGUUUACGCUACAUCGCGGCAAAACGGACACAAUGAAAUGCCAAAAGUAGCUGCUUAAAAUCUAAAUUAUUUUUACCUGUAGCUUCUAAAAUAUCUCUUCCCUUUUUUACGCUACUUGAUAUUGUACCAGUGUGGAUCUAAGAAGGCUUAUGAUAGCCAUAUGGAAAAAGUUUUAAAAUUUAAUCCUUUGUUUCUUUCUCCGUGGGAAUCCGAUAUUAAACACAUAAUCGAAAUUCGGUUCUUAUACAAUUAAACAUCUUCCUGUGACUCUUCAGGUCGGUCGCUAGAGGCUCUCGUUUCAUUAUCUAGGUAUCGCUAAUGUAUCAAAAUAGCUUGAUGAUUCUGAACCGGUGUCUGUUUCCUUUGGCAGUAUCUUACUAAAGAUACGAUAUAAUUUAAUAGGCAAAGUAAGAAAAAAGCGUGGAAAGGUCAAAACACUCGCUUUCCGUUAAGUAAUACCCUCGACAGUGCGGCUUUAAGACACAGCUGUUCUUACCAGAUAGAUAAACAGUGCCUCCGCUGAAAUCAA